UACGUAGGGUGCAAGCGUUGUCCGGAAUUAUUGGGCGUAAAGAGCUCGUAGGCGGUUUGUCGCGUCUGCUGUGAAAACUCGGGGCUUAACUCCGGGCCUGCAGUGGGUACGGGCAGACUAGAGUGCGGUAGGGGAGACUGGAAUUCCUGGUGUAGCGGUGAAAUGCGCAGAUAUCAGGAGGAACACCGGUGGCGAAGGCGGGUCUCUGGGCCGUAACUGACGCUGAGGCGCGAAAGCUAGGGGAGCGAACGGG
rnacentral:rRNA from 1 species